CCCACUAUCAACCUGGCUUCCACAUGAAUACACACAUGCACAAAAGGAAGCCAAGAGAAGUACCCGUUCAUUAUUGAAGACACAGACAAAGAACAAUGUUAUUUAUCGUCUCAGUUUUCAGACUCAACCGCUGCUAGCAAAUUUGAAGCGUUUUUAGAAAUAUCAUCACAUGGUACACAGACUUGAUUCCCUGCAUCAUGAAGAGUUUAAUGAAAACAACGGGCACUGUCAUUUGAAGCCUGCGCGUUGAGGGCUGCGCCAGGCCUGAGAAGAUGGCCACUCAUUUGUGGCCUGGAUGAUUGGGGUGAUGCAGAUCUGCGUCCUCAGCUGGGCCUGAGUCCAGACAGUUCACCAGGCUGUGGGCGUCCCUUUGGCUGCCUGAGAAUCCCAAUAGCCUCUGCCUGGACCGAAUGCCAGGAAUUUGGACAGAUGAACAGAGAAAGCUUCACUGGGUGUAGCAGUCUCCUUAGCAAGUCUUAGAAACUUGCCCUGGGAGAUUGGUGAGUCUUUUGGCUCCAGACUCAAUAUAUGGUUCCAUUCUCGCCACUGUCUCCUUUCCUGUUUCCUAGCAUCUGACUCUUGCAUCCUGGUCCCUCUGUCUCCUCCACCAGAGAAAAAUUCAGAGGAGCAUUCCCAUAUUUCCAAGGAGAAGUUAAAGAGCACCAUGAUCAGA